rnacentral:rRNA from 1 species
GUGAGUCAUCGAAUCUUUGAACGCACAUUGCACCCUCUGGUAUUCCGGAGGGUAUGCCUGUUUGAGUGUCAUUAAUAUCUCAACAUAACCUGGUUUAUUCCUGAGUUAUGCUUGGCUAUUGAAGGCUUGCUGGCGUUAUUGUCAGCUCCUUUUAAAUGCAUGAGUGGAACUAUGUAGGACCAGCCUCGGUUUGAUAAUUAUUAUCUAUGCUGUCGCUGAGAAUUGUUUGAUCUGCUUCUAAUUGUCCUUUGGGACUGUCUCUCUGAGGCAUACACUUGACUCUUGACCUCAAAUCAGGUAGGACUACCCGCUGAACUUAAGCAUAUCAAUAAGCGGAGG